ACACAGCAGCCUUUCACGCUGUCAUACAGGGGUUCGAAUCCCCUACGGGUCA
rnacentral:tRNA from 1 species